rnacentral:rRNA from 1 species
CAUGUCAAGUCCGAGCGAAAGGAUUACCAUCUUGCUCUUAUGAAGUUACCGGCGGAUGGGUGAGUAACACGUGGGUAACCUGCCCAUAAGACUGGGAUAACUCCCGGAAACCGGGGCUAAUACCGGAUAACAUUUUGAACCGCAUGGUUCGAAAUUGAAACGCUGCUUCGGCUGUCAGUUAUGGAUGGACCCGCGUCGCAGUAGCUAUUUGGUGACGUAACGGCUCACCAACGCAACCAACCGUAGCCGACCUGAGACGGUGAUCGGCCACACUGGGACUGAGACCCGGCCCAGACUCCUACGGGAGGCAACAUUAGGGAAUCUUCCGCAAUGGAAGAAAGUCUGACCGAGCAACGCCUCAUGAUUGAUGAAUGCUUUCGGGUCGUAUUACUCUAUUGUUAUGGAAGAACAAGUGCUAGUUGAAUAAGCUGGCACCUUGACAGUACCCAAACCAGAAAGCCACGGCUAACUACGUGCCAUACGCGGGUAAUAA